CUACGGGCCGCUGCAGUGGGGAAUAUUGCACAAUGGAGGAAACUCUGAUGCAGCAACGCCGCGUGGAGGAUGACACUUUUCGGAGCGUAAACUCCUUUUAUAUAGGAAGAAGAUGACGGUACUAUAUGAAUAAGCGCCGGCUAACUCCGUGCCAGCAGCCGCGGUAAUACGGGGGGCGCAAGCGUUACUCGGAAUCACUGGGCGUAAAGAUCGUGUAGGCGGAUUAAAAAGUCAGAAGUGAAAUCCUAUAGCUUAACUAUAGAACUGCUUCUGAAACUCUUAAUCUAGAAUGUGGGAGAGGUAGAUGGAAUUUCUGGUGUAGGGGUAAAAUCCGUAGAGAUCAGAAGGAAUACCGAUUGCGAAGGCGAUCUACUAGAACAUUAUUGACGCUGAGACGCGAAAGCGUGGGGAGCAAACAGGAUUAGAUACCCCAGUAGUC
rnacentral:rRNA from 1 species